rnacentral:rRNA from 1 species
AACGCUGGCGGCAGGCUUAACACAUGCAAGUCGAGCGGGGGAAGGUAGCUUGCUACCGGACCUAGCGGCGGACGGGUGAGUAAUGCUUAGGAAUCUGCCUAUUAGUGGGGGACAACAUCUCGAAAGGGAUGCUAAUACCGCAUACGUCCUACGGGAGAAAGCAGGGGAUCUUCGGACCUUGCGCUAAUAGAUGAGCCUAAGUCGGAUUAGCUAGUUGGUGGGGUAAAGGCCUACCAAGGCGACGAUCUGUAGCGGGUCUGAGAGGAUGAUCCGCCACACUGGGACUGAGACACGGCCCAGACUCCUACGGGAGGCAGCAGUGGGGAAUAUUGGACAAUGGGGGGAACCCUGAUCCAGCCAUGCCGCGUGUGUGAAGAAGGCCUUAUGGUUGUAAAGCACUUUAAGCGAGGAGGAGGCUACUUUAGUUAAUACCUAGAGAUAGUGGACGUUACUCGCAGAAUAAGCACCGGCUAACUCUGUGCCAGCAGCCGCGGUAAUACAGAGGGUGCGAGCGUUAAUCGGAUUUACUGGGCGUAAAGCGUGCGUAGGCGGCUUAUUAAGUCGGAUGUGAAAUCCCCGAGCUUAACUUGGGAAUUGCAUUCGAUACUGGUGAGCUAGAGUAUGGGAGAGGAUGGUAGAAUUCCAGGUGUAGCGGUGAAAUGCGUAGAGAUCUGGAGGAAUACCGAUGGCGAAGGCAGCCAUCUGGCCUAAUACUGACGCUGAGGUACGAAAGCAUGGGGAGCAAACAGGAUUAGAUACCCUGGUAGUCCAUGCCGUAAACGAUGUCUACUAGCCGUUGGGGCCU